GCAAAAGGGAGGGGGUGAGUGUGGAAUCUUUACCGAGUUGAGUCAGAACUUGACUUUUUUUUUUUUUUCUUUCUUUCUUCUUCAAAGCCAUACAAGACUCACGCUUAACUAUCAGGGGGUUGAAUGAGAAAUAAGAUGGAGACCGCUCUAGAUAUGCAGCAGCCCUAAAAUUGUCUCAAUUGGGCAAGGUGUUUUGCAGGAAAAACCAGAAGUGACUCGGGGAAAAAAAAUCAGAAUGAGCAAGUACUUCCGCUUAGUCAGUAACCCAAUAGCUUUGAAGCAUAGAGAACCUGCUGUCAUUGUUGGGGAAAACUUCACGUUCUUGCAGCAGUUGGCAACAUCUUUUGCUUAAUUCCUGCACUGUCAAGUCAGACUGACUUCCUUUUAGUUACAGCAUUUUACCCCCUUUAUUUCGUUGACAGACAAAACCUCUUUGCUUUCUUUUUUAAGACAGCCUUUUUCAUUUAGGAAUGGAAGGAGGGCAAUGUGUUUAUAUUGUUAAGGAAAAAACCGAGGAGGUGUUACUGAAGAUACAGAGCUGUGUGUGGAAGCUUUUUACAAGGAAGAAAUGGAACACCCACAUUACCAAGGACUUGUCCUGGGAACUGUGCUAAGAGCUGGUUAAUGGGAUAAUGCUGAAAACAAUGAACCUGCAAAGUUGGCCACAUCUGUCUACUGGAUUUUCUCAAACUCUGAACAAGCAGUAGGAGGGACUUCUAGUUUCACCCCUUAUCUUGGCUCUUUUGACCUACACCUUUGAGGGAUCUGGCUCAGAACAGAAAGGAUGACUGCCAGACAGAUACCGGAGAGGAGAAGGAGAGCAGCAAUGGCUUGUAUCAUAACAGUAGCUUGAAUUUAUAGUAUAGUGUUUGGCAACUCAUAAAAUUCUUUCAC